GUGCCAGCAGCCGCGGUAAUACAGAGGGUGCAAGCGUUGUUCGGAAUUAUUGGGCGUAAAGCGCGUGUAGGCGGCAUUGCAAGUCGGGUGUGAAAGCCCUCAGCUCAACUGAGGAAGUGCGCCCGAAACUGCAGUGCUUGAGUCCUGGAGAGGGUGGCGGAAUUCCCCAAGUAGAGGUGAAAUUCGUAGAUAUGGGGAGGAACACCGGUGGCGAAGGCGGCCACCUGGACAGAGACUGACGCUGAGACGCGAAAGCGUGGGUAGCAAACAGGAUUAGAUACCCCGGUAGUCC
rnacentral:rRNA from 1 species